rnacentral:rRNA from 1 species
AAAAACAUAGCUAAAAGAUAUUUAUUUUAGUUACACCUGCUCAAUGAAUUAUAUUUAAUAGCUGCAGUAUUUUAACUGUACUAAGGUAGCAUAAUCAUUUGUCUUUUAAUUAAAGUCUAGAAUGAAUGGUAAUUUGGGAAGAAGCUGUCUCAAAAAAAAACAUAAAAAUUACUAAAAAAGUGAAAAAGCUUUUUAUUCCUAAUGGGACGAGAAGACCCUAAAAACUUAAUAUUUUGUUGGGGAGACAAAGGUAUAAACGUCCUUUAUUAAUUUAUAAGUUUAUAAAAUAAAGAAUAAGUUACUUUAGGGAUAACAGCAUAAUUAAAAAUUUAGUUUGUGACCUCGAUGUUGGACUAGGAAUUUUUAUUAUUAGAAAUAAUAAAAAUAUGUUCUGUUCGAACAAUUUCUCCUACGUGAUCUGA